CUAAACUCACGUACUUGCAACAUGGUGGAUGCAGUUUGGAAAAGUUGGUAGUGAUGAUAAAACACAAAGGGUGCUCAUAGAUACCAACCAGUCACUAGCUCCUUUUAAUUAAUUUGCUCACAUAGAAUCAAGUGGUAUAGAGCAGAACUCUCCUCUUUCGCAACUCUAGCCCUUGUUAUAUCGAGCAAAUUAAAGUGCAUCUGAACUGCUGCACUAGAAGAAGGAAAAUAAAUUGAGCUAAGCUGCAGUAUAUAGAACCCUAAGGUUCUGUCUCUCCCACCAAAGUUAAUUAAUUUAUGUUUGGAUAUUAACAUAUUCUGCUCUGCAGGAGUUAUUUAAUUUUAUGUUUUCUAUUUUUUUUACAUGCAUUGGUACUUUUGCAAGUUCAUACAUUUGCAUAGAAGUUAAAUGAUGUAUAGCUAUAUUAAUGUUUCUGUGUAUUCCAGUACUACUUUUACAAGGACUGUACACAUCGAUUCCGCUCCCGACCCGAAAUUGCCAAGUUCCUUAAAACUGGAGUUAUCCCUAUACCCAAGAAGCACAAUCUGCCUAAGGUACCCAAAUACUUUAUACUUCCAGACAUAUGGUGAUAAUAAUCAACAUUGUGUUACAUCAAUUCUACAAUUUUCUGUUUCCAAAAUUUUAUUUUUAUAUGCUUUCUCGUUGCUCCCCAGGAACCUACUGAAGCUACAGCGGAUGAUCAUGGUAUAUAGAUGGAUCAAUAUCCAUAUGAAUUAAUAAGUUAUCUGAUCAAUACAGUUAUUUUUAGUUACCAGACUUCUACUCAUAAAAGU
rnacentral:lncRNA from 1 species